rnacentral:rRNA from 1 species
AGUGAACGCUGGCGGUAGGCCUAACACAUGCAAGUCGAACGGCAGCACAGUAAGAGCUUGCUCUUACGGGUGGCGAGUGGCGGACGGGUGUGGAAUACAUCGGAAUCUACUUUUUCGUGGGGGAUAACGUAGGGAAACUUACGCUAAUACCGCAUACGACCUACGGGUGAAAGCAGGGGAUCUUCGGACCUUGCGCGAUUGAAUGAGCCGAUGUCGGAUUAGCUAGUUGGCGGGGUAAAGGCCCACCAAGGCGACGAUCCGUAGCUGGUCUGAGAGGAUGAUCAGCCACACUGGCACUGAGACACGGUCCAGACUCCUACGGGGGGCAGCAGUGGGGAAUAUUGGACGAUGGGGGCAAGCCUGAUCCAGCCAUACCGCGUGGGUGAAGAAGGCCUUCGGGUUGUAAAGCCCUUUUGUUGGGAAAGAAAAGCAGCAGGUUAAUACCCCGCUGUUCUGACGGUACCCAAAGAAUAAGCACCGGCUAACUUCGUG